CUAAACUAACCGUUACUAAUAAAUAAUUUUAGUUCAUCUUAUAUAUAUAUAUAUAUAUAUAUUAAUUUUGAGUGUUUCUAUGACAACAAAUUUCUUUAAUCUUUAAAGAUUAUUUAGAAAUAAAUUCAACAAUAUUAGAUUAUACUGCUAGUAAGAUGCAUACCUUUAGGACACAAAGGACUGUGUUAGAUCAGCCAGUAACUGUAUUCUAGUUUUAUUAAUAUUUAAUAUUAAUAUGCUCUAUAUUUCACCUUACGGCUUCGUCAGAAACUUAUCAUUACACAUAUCUUCUGGUUUGCUCCAAACAUCCUUACCCCCCCCCCCCCAAGUAGCACAGCGGCAUGUCUUCUGACUUACAACGCUAGAAACUGGGUUUCGAUACCCGAAGCUAUGUGCUUGAUCACAAACAAAUAAACCAAAUAUUCUUAGUGUACUUAUAGGCUAUAAAUCGUUCCUGAGGAAAUGAUAGAGAGAAAUAUUGAGCAAUAAACGACAAAUUCGGGUGUUAGAGAAGUCGUUAUUUUAUGUAUUGUAUUAGUUAGUUCUAGUAAUAAGUUCCUAUUAGCGUUAAAUAUGUUAAUGUAUACAGAAUUGUUCAUGUGAAAGGUGUGGGGUUUUACAGUUUGAAAUAUACACACAGAAAGUCAAAGUUUUGUAAGUUAACAGAAUAGUUUAUAAACAUUAGAAAUGAUUUUCAGUUUGCUAUUAAACAGAAAAUCAGUGGGCUUAAAGAAUACGGCAGAGUUCCUCAGGUCGACAGAAUUAUGUAUUAUUAUUACCAAAGUGUAGGGUUAUAGCUUGGAACGUACACACUGAAAGUCAAUAGGCUGUAAACACUGAGGUACUGUAGAUUCACAUAACCGAUUAUAAUUACAAGAAAAAUAUUUAUUUACAGUUUGGAAAAUGGUCUUAUACAGUUGAAGGUAAGCAAUAGGGUGUUACAGGUUUACAGCAUUGUUUAUAAUCAAUAAAUGGGUGCAUGAGUUUGCAGUUUAGAAUGGUAAACAGGAGUUUAUUUGGCUGAGAAUGGUAAACAGGAGUUUAUUUGGCUUACAGGUAGGGUGUAAAAACAGAGGUGUUGCAGGUUUACAGCAUUGUUUAUAGUCAAUAAAUGGGUGCAUGAGUUUGCAGUUUAGAAUGGUGAACAGGAGUUUAUUUGGCUUACAGGUAGGGUGUAAACACAGAGGUGUUGCAGGUUUCAGAAUUGUUUCCCUAAUUACAAGAAAGAUGUGGAUUUAUAACUUAGGAUGAUAAGGGAAGGACGUAAACACUGAAGCGUUGUAAGUUUGUGUGAUACGUGUAUAAAAACUGUAAAAUAAGGUUACACAAGUUGUGUUUUACUCAGUUCGGUUAUUUUGUGAAUCGAGGAAUUAAAAACAGCAACUGUACUUUGAAUUUCAAUAUUCUCGAAUGUUUGAAAUAAAAACUUAGAUACAGCUUUUUUUUUCUUUUACUUACACGGUUAUCAGUUAAAUAUCAUACCGUGUAACAGAGAUAACGUAUGCAAAUAUUUAUUGUAAAGUUAAGUUCCUUCCACUAGGAUUACUUUAAGCAAUACAAUGAAAACUCCUGGUAUUUCAAAGUUCACUAUCUAUAAUGGAAUUUCAUACAUUUUUUCCCUGUCACUAUGCUUGGUAAUUUUGCUUCAGAAAUUUAUACUUCAGUUACUCAAGAACUUUCGAUUUAAUUAUACACGUAGUUAACAUUAGAAAAAUUGUAUAUUCUAAAAGGGAAGAACAUUGCAAAUAAAAACCAAUGACAUUACUUGUUAAUUUUCAUGUGCAACUUAAGUAGGUAAUAUUGGAUUUUAUUUAGUGCAUAUUAUAAUGUAUUUUGAAAACAUUGAGAGCUCGAAACUAUUAAUACAACAUCCUUUGAUGAACUUUUUAAAAUUAACACUUGUGUGUUAUUCAGCGUACAUAGCCAAUAACCUCACAUCUUCUGCUGUGAAGAAAAUUGCUUAUCAGUAAAUCAUAAACAACUUUUUUGUCACUUUAGCUUUUCAUUUUGUGAAUAAAAGUUCUUAGUAGGCUUCAAGAAAACAAAUUUAUGUUGCUGGUAAGUAACUGACUUAAGUUUAGACCUCAUGAUAAAACGCUUGACCUAGGAAGGUUUAUAGUAAAACUGGUCAAUGUUAUUGAUAUUUGAAGAAUUUAUAUCAACCAUUUUUUAUAUCAUUAAAUUAGAAGAGCUCCUAAAAUCAAUCAGAAAAUAAAAUGUCACAUCGUAUAACUAAAAUUAAUUCCUUCACAAGUAAAUAAUUUGCAUUCAGAUUUCUUUAGUUCUUCUAAAGAUCAUAGGUGGCUGCGCAUUUUCGAAAUUGUGUUUAUAUGCGAGGUGGUUCUGAAAGUUUAAAGCAGUAAAUCUAUGUUAAUGAAAGUUCACACAUUCAUCAAAUAGACGUUGUUAUUUGAUAUAGAUCUAACUCUCGAUUAAAGAGUACAUAUAUUUAUCGGCUUGAAAUAAUAAAACUUUUAUUAACUAUGUACAGUUAUACUCAUUAAAAUAUUUACAUAUGCUGGGCUUGCUUCCCAUCACAUAUUAAAAAUAUUUUAAAUGUUCAUAAAAUGUAAAUAAAUUAAAAUUGUUCUUCUGUACAUAAUUAUAUUUGUACAGUUACAAAUUAUCUUGCUCUGCAGAUUAUUCUAAAUACUUGGCACAUAUUUGGUGUAUAUUUUUUAACUUUUCUAUUCUAGCUUCAUACUUUCUGAAAUGUUAUCAAUGUGAUGAUUAGAAGUGGCGUUAUUGAUGUGCUAAUCUCUUAAUAGUACAUAAAAAUUGUUAGCCAAUCUAUUGAAAUGUAAACCUAAGUAUAAUUCAUAUCGUAGAGAGUACAUAGUAGCAAAAACCUGUUUGUCCCAGAGUAGUUAGUAUCACAUUUACUUUCUUUAUAGCCUAUUUCAUAAUAACCUUAGCCAUGUUUAGAUCCGGAUAUGGUACACUUAUUUCGAAGUGGUUACUAGUGUUAUCAAAAAACGUGAACGAUUGGUUAACGACCUUGUUAGAAAGAUCAUACAAAUUAAACGAAUGUUUUAUAUUAAAAAUUAACUUUUAAUCUUCUUGGUGAGCGUGGAAAACUGUUAAAAUAUUGUUGAAAUAGAAAAUUUUAUAAACAUGGUAUUUUCUUUAUCAUAAGAGCUUGCAAAAAUAAACUGAAAAAGGCACUUUAAUUUAUAUAUAUAAAUAUAUAUACAUGCUUAUACUAUAAAAAAGUAUAGACUAGUUUGUACAUGUAAGACUGUAUUGUACCUGGUCAGGUGUAUAUGCAUUAUCAGGAAAGAACUGUUAGAAGUUGUUAUGGGUAACCUGUCUUGUGUUUUUUUUUUCUACCUUUCGGUGAAAUGUUUCGAAAUACAAUCUCAGAACAAACUCACCAGGCAGGUUUCCCAUAACACCAACUGAUGAAUGUUAUUUUUUGUGUCGAUAUUAAGACAUUUGUCUUGUCAAAUAUAUUUUCUGAACUAAUUCCAAUACCUGUAGAAAAGUUUCAAGUGGUGUUUCAGCAUGCUUAAUUUUCUGUCAUUCAGAACGUGUACAAAAUAAUGAAACAAUUGUUUUUGUUAUUGGUUUUAGAACUAAGUCAGUGAGAUUUCUGGACAUAUUCUGUAUUAAACUAGUUUCAGUUUAAAUAGACAAGGUUGAGUUAGUUUUGUUUGGUAAGAGCUCUUGUAAAAAGAUACACAAACUGUUUUAUCUGUAUAGAUUUAAUUACUUCCAUACAGAAACUUACUUUCCUCAUCAUUGCGUCAGCCAUUUCCACUCAUCGUAAUAAUAGAUGGCGGUUUUGUUAAGAUUCACAUCGAUUGGAAGUAAAGAAAACAACUCUUUAUUUUCAAAAUGAACGAACUAGUCAUGUAUUCAAUUUUAAAUAUAUGAAGUUCAAAGUUUAUGUUUUUCUUGUUAAAUUCUGUGAUUAUGUUUUACUAAAUCUUCCUCGUAUUACUUAGCUCAGUCUUUUUGGAAGCUUUAGUGCACAUUUGAUGAAAAUUAGUAGAACGUAUUACAACAGGCUCUCUUAGGUUGAUAAAUAUAAGUGAUGUUUAUUAUACAAAGUAGACAUCAAUUUAUAUAUACUUAGCUGAAUUCCUAGGUUAAGAUAAGUGUUUAUAUAAAUGUAUAACAGAACUUUUGUUAUAUGUCACUUUGGAAUUUUGGGCUGAUUAAACAUUCACCAGAAA
rnacentral:lncRNA from 1 species